UUUGAUCAUGAUCACGGGCUGACGGGCAUCACGGCAUUUUGUUUGUUUUAAAAGUUAUUAGGUGCAUUAAGUUUACUGUUUUUAUCCUACAUAGCUUCUUAAGCAGCAAACAAGAAAUGACGAAAAAGAGAUGGGCCAACAUUGAACAAAGCAAAAUAGAGAAAUCAGUUGCUUCAUGGCUGCCACAGACACAAUUAAAAUCAAAGACUUAGAAAGGGGCAGGGUGUCAAAGAGCACCUGAAGAACAGGAAGAUGAGGAUCGUGAAGCCGCCGACGCUUGAAUGAUGUGUAAAUAAUGUAUUGUCAGAGUG